rnacentral:rRNA from 1 species
CCGGCGCACGGUGAGUAACGCGUAUGCAACUUGCCUAUCAGGAGGGGAUAACCCGGCGAAAGUCGGACUAAUACCGCAUGAAGCAGGGGCCCCGCAUGGGGAUAUUUGCUAAAGAUUCAUCGCUGAUAGAUAGGCAUGCGUUCCAUUAGGCAGUUGGCGGGGUAACGGCCCACCAAACCGACGAUGGAUAGGGGUUCUGAGAGGAAGGUCCCCCGCAUUGGUACUGAGACACGGACCAA